rnacentral:rRNA from 1 species
AUUGAACGCUGGCGGCAGGCCUAACACAUGCAAGUCGAACGAGUGGCGGACGGGUGAGUAAUGUCUGGGAAACUGCCAGAUGGAGGGGGAUAACUACUGGAAACGGUAGCUAAUCCCGCAUACCAUCGGAUGUGCCCAGAUGGGAUUAGCUAGUAGGUGGGGUAAAGGCUCACCUAGGCGACGAUCCCUAGCUGGUCUGAGAGGAUGACCAGCCACACUGGAACUGAGACACGGUCCAGACUCCUACGGGAGGCAGCAGUGGGGAAUAUUUCACAAUGGGCGCAAGCCUGAUGCAGCCAUGCCGCGUGUAUGAAGAAGGCCGUCGGAUUGUAAAGUACUUUCAGCGAGGAGGCGUUACUCGCAGAAGAAGCACCGGCUAACUCCGUGCCAGCAGCCGCGGUAAUUC